UAGGUUGUUGAAGGAGGUUAUCACUAGGCUUUAAAGAGAUUUUAGAAUAAUAUUAAAGCGGAUCUUAGAAAACAUUAAUGUGAACAUGCGAACUGAAUUCAGCUGUAUCGUGAUAGGGACAAAAUGAAAAUGGCUACGAACCUUCAGGUUUAAUAAACUCAGAAGUAUGAACUUCUCUUGAAAGACCCAGCACCAUCCAAUUAGUUAAGUGUCACUACUAAAUGAAGUUCAGAAGUAAGUUCGAACUACAGCUGCAAAUUUUAAAUUUUGUGUAUUGUUAGGUCCAAAUACAAGUCACAAGCUUCCGUAAGAGUAUGGCUGACAUUAUCAAUUAACAAGAAAAGUGCCGAUUACUGUGGUCGAUCGGUCGAUCUGGGUCAUUCAAACGCUGGAACCGUGGAUUCGAAUCCCACUCACAUAUGUGUCCGCUUUUUUAUGUUUCGUUAUUCCGUGUAGGUAGAGGGAGGCCUUGCGACGGGAGUCCUGCCAACUGUCGAAAAAGAUUUAAAAAAAGCCGGCACAAACAUUCUCCACAAAGGCCAAGGCUGAAAGUGGGCUGUAGCGCCCUUGCAAUAGAAGUGACAGGAAAAAGGAUUUGUUUGAAUACACCACACAGCACAGCCGACGCUUGUGACACUGCGUUUGCGGACUGAAGUAUACACGGCACAGUGACACAAUAAGGUCUGCAAGAAGUCCUCCUGUUUGUCCGACUGACCGGCCGAACGCCCAUCGACGAACUGCAUUGCAGACUUCACCAGUAACACCAAAGAGCGUGUGGCUUCCUGAACCACGUGACCUGCGUCAUGAUUCUCUUGAAGUGGACUAUUGCCCACAGCAUCUCAGCUGAUACAGCACCUACUGACAUCCUCUUCAACCUCAAGCGUGAUGAACGAAUCAGACAGAUUACAAAAGGAUCAGAGCAGUGCCGAGCUACCUCGCCUCCUCCAGCGAAACCUUCUCAACACCGGAUUUGAUGUAUCCACGGCUUCCCAUCUGUAUCCAGUUUUGUCAACACCGGUUGCGUUGUAAAUGUUUUUACACACGAAAAAAUCGAUUAAUUCCACCCCGAGAGACAUACAUUUGCUGGCGGCAGAUCUGUUACAUCAGAAACCAGUUCUCUAGCUCCCAGACUGCCAUUGCUCUAGACCUUCUGUUGUUAUUUUAUAUAUUAUAUUUGUAUUGUUUUCUAUUAAGUGUUUUUCACAUAGCGCUUAGGU